UACAUAGGAUAGGAUAGGGGCGCACCUCCUAGCUGCCGCGCCGCUCCCUCUCGAGCGCGGCCGCCACAUGGGCCUCGCCGUCGCCGGCGCAUCCCCACACCGACCUACUACACCAGCCGCCAUGUCCUCGCCGCCGCUCGCGCCAGCAGACCAAGCAUUGGUCGCCGCAGAGAGCAGCACCGGCGGCGGCCGUGCGCCACUGCUGAAUGCUGAUGCCAGCCGCGGCGAGGGGAUGGCCUGCUGCCGCCGUGUGGCUGCUACGUGCUCGCCGAGGCGCCGCCGUCGCCGGCUGCCGCUGGCCUGAGAUGGCUGACUUCCUCGGUAUUGGGCUAUGAAUGAAUUUCAUGGGCUAUUGUUACCACAGGAGAAAAUGGACUUGGGCCGGCCUCUCGUGGACCUCUCUGGGCCCAUGUAAGCUGUGUCGCAGUGUAGGCCGGUCUCAAAUUCUCAAUUCGGAAGUGCCUAACCUUUGUGCUUUCGGCUACAAUAUAGUAAAAUUUUGCUAUAUAUUUAUCGAUAAAUUUUCUAUAAAAAAUUUGAUAGAUAUAAUUAUAGUGUAAGUUACAUGUAACUAUAAUAUAACUCAUACUCAUACGUAAAUUUCACAAAAUUUUGAACCAACUAGAUUUCUUUCAAUAUUCAGGUAGGCAAAGAAGGAAAAAAGAAACGCAGCGUACAUACAUGUGAGAGAAUUCAGUCCCACAACUUCGAUUUCAUGAAAAUAGCAUGCUACGAAGGAGUUUUCAAAAGUUACAUACAAGUUACAUGUAAGUUAUAAUACAAUUAUACUAUAAUUAUAUUUAUCGUGAUUGUAGUAUUGUACCAUAAUUACAUUUAUCAAAUUAAGAAAAUUUGUCAACAAAUAGAUGUAACCGUGUAAGUGACUCAUCCACGAAACUCAUUUAUAGAUCAAAAUAAGUCUUGAAAUUUUCACCUAUAAGUGAAUAUGUGGAUUAGCCACUACACCUACUUGAUUUCGGUGUCAGCUUUAAUUUUAUAACAUCUUCGGUGCGGUAUUAUGCAGUAAUAAGCUAUUAAUCCUUCCUGUCAAAUAAUCCGGAGUAUCUGAAAACAACAUUACAAAUCUAUCCUGCGGUACACGUACACGUAACGCAGUAGCCAGUAGGUAGCUGCUCUAGCAGUUAGCAAUGCUUGCAGCUUGACGACGACUCAACAAUCUUCUGGUAAUGGAGGACGGUUCUCCCAGCACGUCCCUGUAGUCUCUCAGGGAUGAUUCUUCAGAUACUCAGGAAGCCGGUGUGUAGGGAAGUAACGAUCCUCGUCGCUCGGAUCCAUUGGUGGAUCUGCAGCACAUCACCGUUAAAUGCCAAACCAAUAUUAAUUACUCCUUCCAUCUAUUUUUUUUAUAGUCAUAUUUCAUCUUGGCACAUAGACCAAGGAUAAGUAAUUCUACUUAUCAUCCAUUUAAACAUGUUACUAGUCAUUUCUCGUAAUCAAGUGAUUCAUUAAUAUUUACAUUUCUCAAUGUCCAUAUAACCAAUCAAGUGUGGAAGAAUGAAGGGUCAUGUAUUAAAUCCGAGAAAGUCAUUAAGAUUAUAGGUUGUUGAAUUGAAAUAUACCUAUCAAAAAUAAAUUUUCCAGAUUUGGAAAUAUGACUAUCAAAAAUAGAUGGAGGGGGUAUAUCACAAACCAAUUGUUAAAUAUGUGAUUCAAAUUUUGGGCCCACAAUAUAUUCGGAUUAGUUAUCUAACAGGACUCUACUUUAUAGGAUUAGUUUUCUAUUAGGACUCCUAGAUUUCUCCUAUAUAUAUAUCCUUUGUAAGCCGCACAGAGAGGGUGCGAUAGCCCAAUGUAUCCCUUGCAUUUGUAUCCAAUUCCUUUAUAGUGAUCGGCGCCCGUGGUUUUUCCCGUAAGGGUUUUCCACGUAAAAUUUGUGUCUCCAUUGUGCAUCUAUUUUCAUAACAAGUGCUAUCAGAGCAUUGGAGAUCGAUCUACUAAUCACACAUCCACCGGUGUGAUUUUUCGGAUCGGAGUAUCGAUCUGAUUGGCCUCGUCGUCGACGCCGCCGGGGAAGGAGCAGCAGCGCACGUCGCGGAGAAUCGGCCGCAGCAGCAACGCGUCGUCAUCGUCGCAGAAAUAAAUUCGGUGAGAUUGAGGUGGUGUUUAGAUCCAGGGACUUAACUUUAGUCCCUGUCUUUAGACACUAAUUUAGAGUAUUAAAUAUAGACUACUUACAAAACUAAUUACAUAAAUAAAAGCUAAUUCACGAGACAAAUUUUUUAAGCCUAAUUAAUCUAUAAUUAGAGAAUGUCUCCGUCGGCUGCUGUCGCCGCCCUCUCGACUCCGUCGGUCGCCGUCGCCACUGCCUUCCGCCGCAAACCUCCUCGGCGUCGGCCACCUCCGCCCGCCGGCCGCAGCCAUCCAGGGGGACUGGAUCCGCCGCCAGAGUGGCCGGAUCUGUCGUCCCCCCCCCCCCCCACCAACGGUCGCGGUCGCCGCCUCCUGUCAGGAGCGGCACGCCCCUCCCGAUCUGGCCGCGAUAAGGCCAAAUCCACCUCCGGCGGAGCCGGAUCCGCCGCAUCCGGCCCAGAUGGCGCCGGACACUGUCGCCGCCGUCCGCUUCGCUCGGGUCCCGCCGGUGCCCCGGCCGCGCUUCUCGAGAGAGGGAGAAGGCCCCGCCGCCGCCGUCCUUGCCGCCGCGCGGCUUUGCCGGCAGCUGCUCGGGCGGCGGCGAGGCGGAGGGGAGGAGGAGAAGUUUGUGGCGGCGUGCGCGGUGUCGCCGCUUGUGUCGCCCUGGGGCGAGCGACGCGGGCGUUGGGGAAGUUUUUUUUAUUGCUAAUUUAUGGUUAUUCUUGUACAUCUAUUAAAACUUUAGGUAGCGCUCCAGCCAAGUUCUUCAUCAAAAACUAAAAAAGUUGAGUAUUUCCAUGAGCAUCAAGCAAAUGGUAAGACCUCAACCGAUUUGCACAACUACUCUCGGAUCAAGUCCAAUUUGGUAUUUGCAGAAGCUUAGUUUUGGGUCAGAUUGCAAAACCUCGGGCAUGAACAAAAUUAGCCCAAUGGAAGGUAAAUAAGAUUGGAGACGGAGGCAUCCAGAUCAAUCUCACACCGGGUAAAUCGCACAAAAUUAGAUUAUAGAUCAAACAUUCAUAGGAUAGGAUAGGGGCGCACCUCCUAGCUGCCGCGCCGCUCCCUCUCGAGCGCGGCCGCCACAUACUCGCAUGGGCCUCGCUGUCGCCGGCAUAGAGGGCAUCCCCGCCGGCCUACUACACCAGCCGCCAUGUCCUCACCGGCGCUCGCCCCAGCAGAGCAAGCAUUGGUCGCCGCAGAGAGCAGCACCGGCGACGAGCGUGCGCCACUGCUGUGUGCCAGCCCACGGUGAGGGGAUGGCCUGCUGCCGCCGUGGGCUCCGUGCUCGCUGAGGCGCCGCCGUCGCCGGCUGCCGCUCUAGCUGGCUGACUUCCUCGGUGGGCUCUAUCCGGGCUUGCGUGCGGUGCGCUCUAGUGGUUGGGCCCGUAUCUCGUGGACCUCUCUAGGCCCACGUAAGCUGUGCAGCAGUGAAGGCCCGGUGUCAUAUUCUCAGCUCUGAAGUGCCCAGCCCAACCUUACUACCUCAGGCGAAACGCUAAUCAGCAGUGGAGUAAUUCCACGUGACUCCCUCGUAC
rnacentral:lncRNA from 1 species